AGAGUUUGAUCCUGACUCAGUAUGAACGCUGGCGGCGUGCUUAACACAUGCAAGUCGAACGGUAACAGGAGGAAGCUUGCUUUCUUGCUGACGAGUUGCGCACGGGUGAGUAAUGCAUAGGUAACGUGCCCCUUAGUCUGGGAUAGCCACUGGAAACGGUGAUUAAUACUAGAUACGCCUUCUCUCUUGAUGAGAGUUGGGAAAGUUUUUCGCUAAGGGAUCGGCCUAUGUUGUAUCAGGUAGUUGGUGAGGUAAUGGCUCACCAAGCCUAUGACACAUAGCGGGUCUGAGAGGAUGAUCCGCCACACUGGUACUGAGACACGGACCAGACUCCUACGGGAGGCAGCAGUGGGGAAUAUUGCACAAUGGACGAAAGUCUGAUGCAGCAACGCCGCGUGGAGGAUGACACAUUUCGGUGCGUAAACUCCUUUUAUAUGAGAAGAUAAUGACGGUAUCAUAUGAAUAAGCACCGGCUAACUCCGUGCCAGCAGCCGCGGUAAUACGGAGGGUGCAAGCGUUAUUCGGAAUCACUGGGCGUAAAGGGUGCGUAGGCGGUUUGGAAAGUCAGAUGUGAAAGCCUACAGCUUAACUGUAGAACUGCAUUUGAAACUUCCAGACUAGAAUACUGAAGGGGCAGAUGGAAUUAGUGGUGUAGGGGUAAAAUCCGUAGAUAUCACUAGGAAUACCGAAAGCGAAAGCGAUCUGCUGGGAAGUUAUUGACGCUGAGGCACGAAAGCGUGGGGAGCAAACGGGAUUAGAUACCCCGGUAGUCCACGCCCUAAACGAUGAAUGCUAGUCGUCGGAAAGCUCGUCUUUUCGGUGAUGCAGUUAACACAUUAAGCAUUCCGCCUGGGGAGUACGGUCGCAAGAUUAAAACUCAAAGGAAUAGACGGGGACCCGCACAGGUGUGGAGCAUGUGGUUUAAUUCGAAAAUACGCGAAGAACCUUACCUAGCCUUGACAUUGAUAGAAUCUGGUAGAGAUACCGGAGUGCCUGCUUGCAGGAACUUGAAAACAGGUGCUGCACGGCUGUCGUCAGCUCGUGUCGUGAGAUGUUGGGUUAAGUCCCGCAACGAGCGCAACCCUCGUCGUUAGUUGCUAACAGUUCGGCUGAGCACUCUAGCGAGACUGCCUUCGCAAGGAGGAGGAAGGUGAGGACGACGUCAAGUCAUCAUGGCCCUUAUGGCUAGGGCUACACACGUGCUACAAUGGGGCGUACAGAGAGUUGCGAUACCGCGAGGUGGAGCUAAUCUCACAAAGCGUCUCUCAGUUCGGAUUGUUCUCUGCAACUCGAGAACAUGAAGCUGGAAUCACUAGUAAUCGUAGAUCAGCAAUGCUACGGUGAAUACGUUCCCGGGUCUUGUACUCACCGCCCGUCACACCAUGGGAGUUGAUUUCACCCGAAAUCGGGAAGCGAACCUUCGGGACGCUACCGCUUACGGUGGAAUUAGCGACUGGGGUGAAGUCGGAACAAGUAA
rnacentral:rRNA from 1 species